rnacentral:rRNA from 1 species
GUAGCAAUACUUUGGUGGCGACCGGCGCACGGGUGAGUAACGCGUAUGCAACCCACUUAUCAGAGGGGAAUAACCCGGCGAAAGUCGGACUAAUACCGCAUAAAACAGGGACACCGCAUGGUGAUAUUUGUUAAAGAACUUCGCUGAUAGAUGGGCAUGCGUUCCAUUAGGUAGUUGGUGAGGUAACGGCUCACCAAGCCGACGAUGGAUAGGGGAACUGAGAGGUUGGUCCCCCACACUGGUACUGAGACACGGACCAGACUCCUACGGGAGGCAGCAGUGAGGAAUAUUGGUCAAUGGGCGAGAGCCUGAACCAGCCAAGUCGCGUGAAGGAAGAAGGAUCUAUGGUUCGUAAACUUCUUUUGCAGGGGAAUAAAGUGCAGGACGUGUCCUGUUUUGUAUGUACCCUGAGAAUAAGGAUCGGCUAACUCCGUGCCAGCAGCCGCGGUAAUACGGAGGAUCCGAGCGUUAUCCGGAUUUAUUGGGUUUAAAGGGUGCGUAGGUGGUUUGAUAAGUCAGCGGUGAAAGUUUGCAGCUUAACUGUAAAAAUGCCGUUGAAACUGUCGGACUUGAGUGUAAAUGAGGUAGGCGGAAUGCGUGGUGUAGCGGUGAAAUGCUUAGAUAUCACGAAGAACUCCGAUUG